rnacentral:rRNA from 1 species
UACGUAGGGGGCAAGCGUUGUCCGGAUUUAUUGGGCGUAAAGGGCGCGUAGGCGGCUAGAUGUGUCAAAGGUGAAAUCCCUCGGCUCAACUGAGGAACUGCCUUUGAAACUGUCUGGCUUGAGGCCGGGAGAGGGUAGCGGAAUUCCCAGUGUAGAGGUGAAAUUCGUAGAUAUUCGCAAGAACACCAGUGGCGAAGGCGGCUUACUGGUCCGGUUCUGACGCUGAGGCGCGAAAGCGUGGGGAGCAAACAGG